rnacentral:rRNA from 1 species
UACGUAGGUGGCAAGCGUUGUCCGGAUUUACUGGGCGUAAAGAGCGCGCAGGCGGUCGUUCAAGUCGCGUGUGAAAGCCCCCGGCUCAACUGGGGAGGGUCACGCGAUACUGAUCGACUCGAAGGCAGGAGAGGGUAGUGGAAUUCCCGGUGUAGUGGUGAAAUGCGUAGAUAUCAGGAGGAACGCCGGCGGCGAAAGCGACUCUCUGGCCUGUAACUGACGCUGAGGCGCGAAAGCUAGGGGAGCAAACGGG